rnacentral:tRNA from 1 species
GCUGUCAUCGUCUAGUUGGUUAGGACACAAGCCUUUCAAGUUUGUAACGCGAGUUCGAUCCUCGCUGGCAGUGCCA